UGAACGCUGGCGGCAGGCCUAACACAUGCAAGUCGAACGGUAACAGGAAGAAGCUUGCUUCUUUGCUGACGAGUGGCGGACGGGUGAGUAAUGUCUGGGAAACUGCCUGAUGGAGGGGGAUAACUACUGGAAACGGUAGCUAAUACCGCAUAACGUCGCAAGACCAAAGAGGGGGACCUUCGGGCCUCUUGCCAUCGGAUGUGCCCAGAUGGGAUUAGCUAGUAGGUGGGGUAACGGCUCACCUAGGCGACGAUCCCUGGCUGGUCUGAGAGGAUGACCAGCCACACUGGAACUGAGACACGGUCCAGACUCCUACGGGAGGCAGCAGUGGGGAAUAUUGCACAAUGGGCGCAAGCCUGAUGCAGCCAUGCCGCGUGUAUGAAGAAGGCCUUCGGGUUGUAAAGUACUUUCAGCGGGGAGGAAGGGAGUAAAGUUAAUACCUUUGCUCAUUGACGUUACCCGCAGAAGAAGCACCGGCUAACUCCGUG
rnacentral:rRNA from 1 species